GCGACCGUAGUCUAGCCAGGACUAGGACAUCGGCUUUCCGAGCCGAGGACCCGGGUUCAAAUCCCGGCGGUCGCA
rnacentral:tRNA from 2 species